AUACGUAGGGUGCGAGCGUUGUCCGGAAUUACUGAGCGUAAAGAGCUCGUAGGUGGUUUGUCGCGUCGUCUGUGAAAUUCCGGGGCUUAACUCCGGGCGUGCAGGCGAUACGGGCAUAACUUGAGUACUGUAGGGGAGACUGGAAUUCCUGGUGUAGCGGUGAAAUGCGCAGAUAUCAGGAGGAACACCGGUGGCGAAGGCGGGUCUCUGGGCAGUAACUGACGCUGAGGAGCGAAAGCAUGGGUAGCGAACAGGAUUAGAUACCCUGGUAGUCCAUGCCGUAAACGGUGGGCGCUAGGUGUAGGGGUCUUCCACGACUUCUGUGCCGUAGCUAACGCAUUAAGCGCCCCGCCUGGGGAGUACGGCCGCAAGGCUAAAACUCAAAUGAAUUGACGGGG
rnacentral:rRNA from 1 species